rnacentral:rRNA from 1 species
UGGGGAAUUUUGGACAAUGGGCGAAAGCCUGAUCCAGCAAUGCCGCGUGUGUGAAGAAGGCCUUCGGGUUGUAAAGCACUUUUGUCCGGAAAGAAAUCCUUGGCUCUAAUACAGUCGGGGGAUGACGGUACCGGAAGAAUAAGCACCGGCUAACUACGUGCCAGCAGCCGCGGUAAUACGUAGGGUGCAAGCGUUAAUCGGAAUUACUGGGCGUAAAGCGUGCGCAGGCGGUUUGCUAAGACCGAUGUGAAAUCCCCGGGCUCAACCUGGGAACUGCAUUGGUGACUGGCAGGCUAGAGUAUGGCAGAGGGGGGUAGAAUUCCACGUGUAGCAGUGAAAUGCGUAGAGAUGUGGAGGAAUACCGAUAGCGAAGGCAGCCCCCUGGGCCAAUACUGACGCUCAUGCACGAAAGCGUGGGGAGCAAAACAGGAUUAGAUACCCUGGUAGUCCACGCCCUAAAACGAUGUCAACUAGUUGUUGGGGAUUCAUUUCCUUAGUAACGUAGCUAACGCGUGAAGUUGACCGCCUGGGGAGUACGGUCGCAAGAUUAAAACUCAAAUGAAUUGACGGGGUCAUAGCUGUUUCCU